GGCUGCAGAAGGUCAGGAAGCUCUGGGCAGAAGAGAGCCGGAGCUGUCCGCGGUGCUGAAACUCCGCUGCCGCCGCUGGAUCAUCGCUUCUCAUCUCUUCCUGUGACAACUGAGUGAGGAGUGUUGAAGAGUGAGUCCUCAUCAUUUUUCCUCAUGAAUUAAGAAGACAAUAAAGGAAGGGCAGCCUUUCAGGAAAUUACAACACUUUCAAGCCUGCAAGCAUUGUAAUUUAUCUGUGCAACAGAGAUUGGAACUUCUGUUUGUAAUUACCCAGAGUUUCUGUUAAUCAAGCCAAAAAAGUUUAGGGUUGUUGUUUGCUUUGUUCUUUUGUGAAUGGCUGAUAAUGCAGAGGAGAAUAAAUAUAAAGGUUUACCCGAACAGCAGCAAGUUAGAGCUAAUUAAAGCUCGCUGAGCAUGCCUUGGCUUGCUGCACUGUUUUUAAGGGGGCAAAUUAAUCUGCACUGUUGAUUUGUGCUGUGAUUUCUGCCUGCCCUGUGGCUAUAGUGGGAAACACUGCACCUGGGAGUAAUCAGCAGCUGAUAUUUCACCUCAGAAGUCACACUUACUUACAAAGAGGACCAUGCAGGGUUGCACCCCUUCCAGUUGCAUCUAGCCACUUCACAAAAGCCACAGGAGGACACUUCAGAUUUCAAGGCAUCCCUCUCCUUCCAGCAUGACUGAGACGACUCACUGGGCUGUAGACUAUGAAGUCUCCUCCCCUGCUCCACCUGGAUUCUCCAGGAGCCCCACAGCACUGCAGCCCAUGCCGGGACACCCCGAUCAGGGAUCGGCCCUGUGCUUUGUGGGACUCCUUGUGUUGCUGCUGCUGUUUCUGGUGGUUCGUUGCGUUCGGAUCUUGCUGGAUCCUUACAGCAGCAUGCCGUCAUCAACAUGGCUGGGUCAUAAAGAGGGGCUUGAUAGAGGGCAGUUUGAUUAUGCAAUAGUGUAAAAUGUUACAUGACUGUGAAUUUACCUUGACUUGAUGAACAGUUACAAGCCUAACUGCAUGAUGGGAAACAUUAGAAGCCAUGCAUUUAUAUUAAUUUAAAAUGAUCAGUGUGCUGUUGCAGUGUUCAGUAGGACGAUUGCUGAUGCUUUAUAACUAUUUAUUCUACCUUUGACGCAAGAGUGCUUUAUAAAUCCCUGAUCUAAAUAAAAAAUAUAGGAUGAGUUGCUGUUCAUUAAAAAAAAGUCAAAUACAUGGAGGGUGCUCACAGGCGAGCAAACUUGCUCUUUUAGCAAUAUCUAUAUACUUUUGUUUUUGUAAAAAAAAAAAGUGACUCUUGUGUCUGAUCUCAUGUUUAGAGAUGUCAUGGUCCUGAGCUGAAGACUUGAUAACAAUAGAAAGUAGAUAUUUCUCAGGUGAAAUGACUUCAAAUAACCAGAGGCACUACAGCUGGACAGAACCUGACCUUUGAUUUACUCCAAAAAAACUUUUGCUUUUAUUUAUCAUCACUGAGUCAAAUUUAUUUUUGUCGGACUCUAAAACCUCUAAUGCAUUUCAGUCAGUGAGGCAUAUUUGUGAUUUAGUUCUUUUAUGCAGUUCCUCCUUUAAGAGGCUUAGGGGGGCUCAGUGGUCAUGGUCACUGCACUGAGUGAACGGCAGUCAGUUAUAAUCAUAACAUGAACUUAUGAUUAUGGGAAGCACAUACUCCAGUGCCCUCUUCAUAAUCCUUUUGGUCGUCAGGCUCAAUCUAAUGCAUCAGCCAAAAUCUGUUUAGCAGUGCCUGCAGGGAUAUGAGUAGCUCUGGUGUCUGUUUUAUAGAAUGAUUUUUCUGCUUUGGAUGUCUCUGUUUUCUACUGCUGCUGCCGUCCAUCAUGCUCCAAAGCCAUUUAUGGAUCUGAAAAGAUCUGCUGAAAUGUUCUUUGGUAGUCAUGUUUUUCUCCUGUCAUUGUAUCCUCAGUGGUUAUAACCAAGACACUAAUUUAUAAGAUAUUAAACUUUUAUUUUUUGUCUUUAACUUGAUUUUAUAAUGAUAUCUUAGAAGUGGAUUGCUUAAAGUAAAAUAAAAAGGUUGUCCGAUCCUUCUUUUAAA